AUGCCUGAGGCUGAUUACGAAAAUUCUCGUAUUUUCGUCGUUGUCAUUUAGUAAGAAACAAUUUAACUAUACCUUAGGUAUAGUUAGUAAUAAAACGAUUAAUUAACACAAUUUAUACUGAUUUAUUGUAUUUGGAUGUAGAGUUUUAUUUAGAUAGAUAUCGAAAUUUCAAUCAUUUGAAUAGUACCCGGGUACUGAGAGAACUGGAUACGUUCCUGCAUCAAACGCACCCUGGUGGUAAAUUUCGAAAUUAAAAUUUGAAAUUGCACCAUUUCGCGCGGUGUCAUAUUGAGAAGAGGAAGCAACUGUCGAGAGCUCGUCAUAAAUGUGGAAAAUUUAAUAUACAAAACCAAGUCAUUGUUUCAAAAUAGUAUUUGAUUACUUCCUCUUUUUCUUGCUCCUCGAAAAGGACGUAGUAGUGCUUGAAAAGUCAAGAAUGUUUCUUCCAACCUUCAUUUCUUUCAUUGAAUUCGACAAUUCCGACUAGAUGAGAAUUUCUAUUGGGCAACAGUAUCGAUGACAACGUUGUUCGUAUAUAAUCCUACUCACUCACGUGCCUAGGUUCUAGUUGUGUGGGAGAAAAGCAAUGGGCAUGAUGACUAGUUUGUGAGCUUAACAAUUUUUCAGUGACUGAUGUUGCGUUAGUAUGGUGCACGUACUUUGCACUGCGUGUGUAUGUGUGUGCAUGCGCACGUUUGUGUGGUUAGGCCGUGGAAUUGCGUCGCUUUGGCUAUUCAUUAUAAUUUUAAAAUAUUUAUAAAUUCGCAAAUAUGAAUCCAAUUACAAUUUACAAUAACGAUGCUAAUAAAUAUGUAUAGUAGAUUAUAAAUAGUAAUAUUAAUCUUAGUAUUAAAUUACAACGAUAGUUAAAUUAAUUCAGAUAUCAUGAUCUAUUCUAGUAAAAUUAUUUCUUUGAAUGAUAUAUACAUGAUUAUAUACGAUUAUGAAUAUUUAAUUAAAAUUUAAAUUCAAAUAUACUUUAUUAAGGUUGAAAUAUACAUGAUAUUUUUAUGAAAUGGUCUCUAAACAUCGUCAAUUGAUUUCAGGAAAAUGAUAUGUAAAUUAGAGUGUGAAAAUUGUGUGCUAAACUCGGGUGUCGAAGAUGUCCCGGGACGUCUCUCUUGUGUAGGUUCUUAUGUUCGGGUUAUGUGUGAGAAGCGUGGAGCGAGCGUGUUGGUAUGUCUGUUUUGUUAUUUUUUAAAUAUAGGACUAGAUAGGAUAGGUAGCAUAGCCUCUAGCGUGAGUGUUAAUUAUAAGUAAGUAGUGCCGGACAGGUUGGCACAGUUUCUGAUCGGGUAGGCGUGUUUUCGCGUGGUCCAAUCUAUUUCAAUAAAUUUGAUUUAAAAGAUUGACGGCGAAGCUUGUGUCACAAGUGGAGCAUACCAUUUGCCUCUGGCUGCUGAUUUGCCCACCGAUUUUUCAAAUUUUGCGAUUGUGGUCGUGAGUAGAUCUCGAAACAAACGAUUACAUGUAUUACUCGAGCAUGCACAUGCGAAUGAACAGCGAUCACUAUGAUGUGCACUUGAAUUAGCUUCCGCGAUUUAUAUUUUAUUUUAUCUUUAUAAGUUGUUCUUUGUUUCCCGAUUAGAAAGUCUCGAGCUAGAUUUAAGUUUCAGUGGGCAUUGUGUUCGAAAAAGGAACAUGCUACGAGUCGCAGAGACCCGGAAAAAUUGCCAUAGGAGAGACACAACUACUAAUGGCUUUCCAUCUUUUAGAUCAGCCAAAGCAUGGAGAGUCAUUCUCAUUAUUACUUUGCCACUAUGCUCGCUUUUAGCAUUUGUAAUUGUAGUAUUUUUUUCGGCCUAUGUAUACGUCGGUCCACCAUCAUAUAAAUCGCGGUUUUUUUCAUUAGCGUUGUAAGAGAUUAAUUAUGGUUUGAAUUAGAGUUGCGAAAAAGUUUUGUGGCUUUUUGUUAGCGUCGCGAGGGACUGAUUACGGUUUAAAUUAGACUUGUGGAAAGAUGAUAAUCGUGUUUAUUUUAAUGUUACGAAUUAUGCCAUCGCCAUAAUGAUACUGUCCGGAGCAAUUUUGAUUAUGAAUAGUCAGAAUUUCUGAGAGAGUAAUUCAUAUUAGAGUUUCUCUUGUGUCCUUUAAAAUUUCUUGUUUUAUUUAAAGUUGGAUUUAGAGAUGUUAAAUGUCCCAUUGAUUUUAUAAUAUCGCAGUUUGUAGUAACACGAUAUGUGAAAUAGCUUUUUCAUUAUAUGUAUGUGGAUAUUUAUUUUAUUUUUGUUUUAAGAAUUAGCGUUGCGUUCUUCCAUCAUGAUUGUUUUAAUUAGUUUUAGUAAAUAACUAACUAGUUAAAGUAGUGUUGCGCCUAUAUCAUGUCCAAUCUUCUUUCACUGGGCUGUGGAAACAUAUUCCUGCUUCUGUAUCAUCUGGUACUGUUCCAAUAGCCUUCUAUAUGGCUGCACUGCACCGUUAUUAGUGUUGUGAACAUAUAAAUGUGAGUGGAUAGAUUAAUAUAGCUAUCAAUAUUGGACAAAUAAUUCGGCAUAACAACACCGGUAUUGUCUAUCUUUUUUUCUUGUUUUUCUUUAUCAAUAGAAAAUUAAUUAAUAUUACAAACGCGAUAAAGCACUCAUUGAGAUUUCCUGCAACACGUUAAAAUACAGUUAAUCGAUAGAAUUUUUAGUGAAUCAAACAACAAUUAAAAUUUCGUGUCGGAUAAAUAAAUUCUUAUUGUGCCGUUAGAAAGUUCAGUCUCCUAAAUAAUGGGAACAGUAAAUUUUGAAAUACUGAUUGUACAAUGAUAUCGAGAUAGUGAUUGCAAAGGAUGUUAAAAAAUACUAAAAACCGUUCCUAUAGAAAAUUGCCUUUUUCCUUCCUAAUCGAAGGAUCUCGUACAACUUCCUUUUCGUGAAGAAUUCUUGGUUCCUCCAUUAUCUGAAACAUUUUUCCGCGUCACGGUAGCUGUGUUUGAUGUGUUAAAAUUCGCGUCGCAUGCAUGGAGGACGUGAAGGUAAUUAAGUGGAGAAGCGGAAUCCUCGAGGUUGUGUAAAAGACACGGAGGUCGCAGCUCGUGACCCACUUUGUUCAUCGACAACUGCUUCCUACUUGGAGAACAUCUUAUUCUUCCCUUGUUGAACGUAGCAAACGUAGGCACCCUCUGCCUCGCAGAAAUAUUAUACCUUAGAAAAAUCGUGUCGAGCGUUAAUCGCACAUCUUUUGAGAAGCUACUGGUCUCCGAACGUUUGAAAUCGUGCGUCGAGAUGUGUAUUCGUUUCGAGGUUGUGAUUGAUCGACAUCGCAAUCAAUCGGAUUUAGUAUGUAGAAAUACAUCGGCCCACGAAAUACAUAUUUCAAUACUUGUCCUAGAAAACUUUUAUAUUAUAUAAUUUAUAUAUUAUAUGCGUUACAUAAAACAUUUAGAAAUAUCAUUAGCGAUGUUAUGAGACACGGCUGUAAUGGUUAUAUUGGUCAAAUUUCUGAGAAUCUGAAAAUGUAUAUAGAAGUUAUAAAAGAUUUAUCGCAAACACAUAUAUGUAUGUACGUACAUUUUACGUAUGAAUUAACGUGUACAUAUAAUAGUUAGUAAAAAAUUAGUAUGCACCAUGGAUAGCCAUCUUAAACAUGCAAUAAAUGUUAAAAAUGGGCUUUUGAAUAUUUGGGCUUAUAUAAUAGGCAACUCAGUAUUUAGAUACUUUCGCAAUCUCUGCAAAACGUUUAAACUUUAAUAUUAUACAUACGUUUGGAUUGGUAAUUAUAAUGUUUCUUAAUCAUUAACCAUCUUAAUGUGCUAUUGUCAUUGUGAUUAAAAUUGCAUGUAGUAAUUAUACGCGAGUUUCAAAAACUCACGAAUUUGUAGUGUAAAAAGAAAAAAUUUGUUGGGCAAUUAUAAUUUUAAUUAAGGAUUAGUUGGAACCUCCUGGAUUUGAGCGCGUUGUGUAAGAACAUACGUACUACGAAAUUUUACACGUGGAGAAUCCUUAGGCAGAUAAAUAUUUCAUAAGAACGUUAGUACUCACGCUUGCUAAAUUAUACGUGUUUGUAAUUAUUGUAGAUAUAUCUUAGACUGUGCUCCUUUUCUCGCGUCCCUUUGCUAUUUUUGUACAGCAAUUCCCAUAACUAUCUCUUUUCAUUCUUUUAGCGUUUUUAAUGAUUUAUGGUUUUAUAAUUAUAUGCAUAGCUCUGUAAUUAACAACAACGUUUGGGAAUGCAUUAAUUUACAUAUUUUAUAAGAUAAUGAUAAACAUUUUGUUUAUAUAACGAUCUAAGAUUGUUAUGGAUCAUAUUAAUUAUGACAUUAAUUUAGAUUAAAUUUCAACGACGUCCAGUUUGAAAAUUGAUGAAUUAUUUUUUGAGUUUCUUUAGAAAUAAAAUUGAUCUUUUCACUUCAUUGCAUUUGCCAGAUUGCUACUUUCGCUAACACUGGGAUACCAUUCUUGCAACCAGGUGAUCCUCAAUAUCAUUUCUCAUAAAAUUGGCAAAUUCCAAAAUAUUCGGAAAUGACAAGUACGAGAGGCAAAGAAAAAAAAUAGUUGCGUUGUCUUAUGGACUGUUAACAAUGUGUCGAAUGUAAAGGAUCGGAAGUUCGUUUUGCCUCAUCCACCUGAUGAAGUAUUCGAUGUGGUAACAAAUAUCCAUUUGUAGUGAAGCACCUUUCUAUGAAUUUCUGUGAUCUCUUUCUGUCACACCAAAAAAAAACUCUGCCCUGUAGUAGAGUCGUAGAGCUAUUUGGAAGAACUUCCCAUGUAAGGUAAGGCUACUUCAUUCAUCUCUGUCAACCUAUGGUAACAAGGUAUGUCAUUAGUCCCUGUUUCAUUAUCAGAUGAUAACGAGUAACAUAGAACACAAUGUACAAAUAUAAAUACGUACAAAUGCGAAAAUUCUAUUAGAGCAAAAAUAUAUCGUAAUAUGUAUCUCUGUGUUUGUAAAUAAUAAUAAAUGAUAAAUGUUAUUAAUGUAUAAGGUGCCUCUAUCAUAUAUUUUAUUAGAGAAACUAUUUUAUUAAUCAAUUUUGUUUGAUUUAUGCAUGCUUCUAAUUUAAUUUUGUCGUGUUGUAUCUAGUUCUAUAUAAAUUGUUCUAAAUAAAUUGAAAAUUUUGGGGUGAUUUGAUAAUUAUGUAAUCUAAUAAUGUUCCAUUUGUUACAGGAGGGCAAUCUUAAAAUUCAGUACAUCGUUAAUUCAGUCUAUAGUAUGAGACUGUCCUUUUAUUUGGCACUAAACACGUAUUCUUCCACCCUUCUCAUAACUUUAAAGAUAUUGAUCGUCAGAAUAUUAAAAUAUUAUUUGUUUUAAGUUAUAUUAUAUAUGUCGGAGAAGCGCUGGGAUAUCGACAAGUAACCGUGGUAAUUAGAUAAUCGAGACGCUAACGACAAUGAUCCUAGGUUCGAUAACGAAUCCGCGGUCAACGGGAUCGUAGAUGUAUGAUCUCACAAAAUCUAAGUCCGGAUCGUGAAGAUGGUACUCUGUUCGUUAGUAAAGACGCAAACAGGAAUCCCUCUUCGUCUCGAUGGUGCCACCGAGGAAAACUAUGACGGGUCUCCCCAAGCGCAUGAGGUCAUCGGAUUCGUGGAGCUAUGCCUUCGUUCAGAGGGUGAGGGAAAUUGACGUUGCUGUUAAUUGGUCAAUUUCCACGUCGACGGUUGGAAAAGAAUGCUAGCCCCCCUUGAGGGAAA